rnacentral:pre_miRNA from 1 species
GGGGGGAGGCGGGAUCUUGGGCUGUGUCCCGGAACCCAGGGCUCCCGGGCUUGUGCUGUUGGAUUCGCGCACCCGGCCGCGCAGCCCCCU